AGGCAACCCUCUUGCGAUGACAAUGGCAAGAGAGGUGUUUAACUGCUCGUAAAUUAAGUCUCUUGCUCUUCAGACUUGCUGAGAUGACUCUUUGAAGCUGGUCUAGUAAGCAUUAGUACAUU